rnacentral:rRNA from 1 species
AGCGAACGCUGGCGGCAGGCCUAACACAUGCAAGUCGAGCGCCCCGCAAGGGGAGCGGCAGACGGGAGAGUAACACGUGGGAACGUACCCUUUGGUUCGGAACAACCCAGGGAAACUUGGGCUAAUACCGGAUAAGCCCUUACGGGGAAAGAUUCAUCGCCGAAGGAUCGGCCCGCGUCUGAUUAGCUAGUUGGUGGGGUAACGGCCCACCAAGGCGACGAUCAGUAGCUGGUCUGAGAGGAUGAUCAGCAUCACUGGGACUGAGACACGGCCCAGACUCCUACGGGAGGCAGCAGUGGGGAAUAUUGGACAAUGGGCGCAAGCCUGAUCCAGCCAUGCCGCGUGGGUGAUGAAGGCCCUAGGGUUGUAAAGCCCUUUCGGCGGGGAAGAUAAUGACGGUACCCGCAGAAGAAGCCCCGGCUAACUUCGUGCCAGCCGCCGCAGUAAAAC